UACAGAGGGUGCAAGCGUUAAUCGGAGUUACUGGGCGUAAAGGGCGCGUAGGCGGUUAUAUAAGUUGGAUGUGAAAACCCUGGGCUUAACCUAGGAAUUGCAUACAAGACUGUAUGACUGGAGUACUGUAGAGGGUAGUGGAAUUUCCGGUGUAGCGGUGAAAUGCGUAGAGAUCGGAAGGAACACCAGUGGCGAAGGCGGCUACCUGGACAGAUACUGACGCUGAGGCGCGAGAGCGUGGGGAGCGAACAGG
rnacentral:rRNA from 1 species